rfam:Schistosoma mansoni, Puerto Rico, WGS project CABG01000000 data, contig: 0166
GGUGGAGUGGCCGAGCGGUCUAAGGCGCUGGUUUAAGGCACCAGUCCGAAAGGGCGUGGGUUCGAAUCCCACCUCCAUCA